GCAUAAAUGAAAAAGAAAAAGGAAAUAAACCCUAAACCAUUCUAAAAGACAGAAAAAGGAUCUCCUUUUCUCUCCGCUGCAACCCUGAUGCACCCCCUCUCGAACUUCGAUUUCGACGAAGCGACUGAGGUCCGGCGGCCUCAAACCGGAAGGCAUUUGUUGCGGGUGCAGGUACGAGUACGGUGUCAGGUGCAGUGAUGUGGAGGCUCGCGUGAGGCUGGGUCAAGGUGGCAGUGGCGUACGUGCGAGGGAAGGCUGUACGGAGGCGUGCGUGGCUGGAGAGAACGGCGCUGGAAGCUGCUAGGGUUCCUUGCUCCUGUUUUGCGUUUUGGGCUCAUUGGGCUAAAGGUUUCUAGGCUAGUGGGUUUGGGUUUUAGUUGGGUCUUUUGGGUUAGUGAUUUGGGCCAUGUAUUUGGGUCUGUAAUCGGGCUUGAAAAGUUAGAUUGACAUUAUUGGAUUGGAUUGCUUAUUAUUGGUUUUUAAUAUCUGUAUCGGGCUAGGCCGAAUUGGGCCUAUUACAUUUAUUAUCUUAAUAGUCUAUAAUUUUAUAAUUUUAAAGGAUUAAAUCAGAUUUUUAUCAUUUUGAA